GGAGUGGUCAUCGCUGCUGGAGGCAACUUUGGGGUUAAACUGUUCAAGAACGGUUUAACCCCUUGAGAUGAGUGCCUCCUUUUUGCUUCUGUUAUUCUAACUUUAAAUAAUGUGACCCAGAGCAAACAAGAGAGGUUUCCUUUUAUUUUAUUUUAUUUUCAAUCCUCUUCCCAUCUCUAAAAUAUUACUCACCUGUUCUUUGAAGAAUAAUUAACCAUCUGUCAUUUUAUAUUAGAAUCAUAUAUUUAAUUGCUAGUUACCGCACACAAAGCCGUCCACUAAGCUAGCUAUCAUACUAAAAUUAUUGGGAGAGUCUCAGUUGCCGUCAAUGACAUAUGAUGAGUAAAUGCAAGCAACGUAUUGCAAUGUUUUCUUUAGUAACCAAGAAUUGCAUGGGUGAGACAAUCAAAGAACCAGUAUUUGGAGAUCCAGACUUCAUACGCUGAAGUACAUACAGUUAAUGACAG